AACGAACGCUGGCGGCAGGCUUAACACAUGCAAGUCGAACGGGUGUAGCAAGUACAUCAGUGGCAGACGGGUGAGUAACACGUGGGAACCUUCCUAGGGGUACGGAACAACUCAGGGAAACUUGAGCUAAUACCGUAUACGUCCGUAAGGAGAAAGAUUCAUCGCCCCUAGACGGGCCCGCGUCGGAUUAGGUAGUUGGUGGGGUAACGGCUACCAAGCCUACGAUCCGUAGCUGAUCUGAGAGGAGAUCAGCCACACUGGACUGAGACACGGCCCAGACUCCUACGGGAGGCAGCAGUGGGGAAUCUUGGACAAUGGGCGC
rnacentral:rRNA from 1 species